rnacentral:lncRNA from 10 species
UUUUUUUUAAUUAGCUGCAUAUUUUUAUCUGGGUCUCACAUCAUUUCACUGUGAUUUGGGGGUUGUGAUGGUUUAUUUUAUGUCAUCUUGACUGGGCUAAGGGAAGCCCACAUAGCUGAUGAAACAUUAUUUCUGGGCAUCCCUUAAUGUCUGUGCAGGUGUUUCUGGAAGAGAUCUGCAUUUGGGUUGGUGGACAGCGUAAAGCAGAUGGCCUUCACCAAUGCAGGUGGGCAUCACACAAUUCAUCGAGGGCCCAGAGAGAGCAAAACAGCAGAGGAAAGGAAUCCAUGCUCCACAGCAGUUCCCAGCAAGCUGCACUCUUCGAAGGCGGGAUGCUGAAACCUCUGCCCCCACCCCCUACAUUAGCUUUAUAUCCAAAUGUGACUCGGAGGCUGGUGAGCUCAAGGUGAUCAAUGACAGCUCCAAUCAAAGCCACCCAGUAGACAGUGCACUCACCACUCCUUGAUAUAAAAGGUGUUUUAUUUCUCAUCCUUUUAUUUUUGUCACUGAAAGAAUGCUUCCCAUGUGUGGAUUAAUUAAAGUGUAAACAUUAAAUAUUGAUUGAUGCAUUAUCAGC